AACGAACGCUGGCGGCAGGCCUAACACAUGCAAGUCGAGCGAAGCCUUCGGGCUUAGCGGCGGACGGGUGAGUAACGCGUGGGAACGUGCCCUUUGGUACGGAAUAGCCCCGGGAAACUGGGAGUAAUACCGUAUGUGCCCUUCGGGGGAAAGAUUUAUCGCCAAAGGAUCGGCCCGCGUUGGAUUAGGUAGUUGGUGGGGUAAUGGCCUACCAAGCCGACGAUCCAUAGCUGGUUUGAGAGGAUGAUCAGCCACACUGGGACUGAGACACGGCCCAGACUCCUACGGGAGGCAGCAGUGGGGAAUCUUAGACAAUGGGGGAAACCCUGAUCUAGCCAUGCCGCGUGAUAGAUGAAGGCCUUAGGGUUGUAAAGAUCUUUCAGUGGGGGAGAUAAUGACUGUACCCACAGAAGAAGCCCCGGCUAACUCCGUGCCAGCCGCCGCAGUAACAC
rnacentral:rRNA from 1 species